rfam:Lodderomyces elongisporus NRRL YB-4239 supercont1.3 genomic scaffold, whole genome shotgun sequence.
GGAGCUGUGGCCAAGUCCGGUAAGGCAUCUGAUUCCAAAUCAGGCGAUCGCAGGUUCGAAUCCUGUCAGCUUCA